ACCUGCGGAGGGAUCAUUACACAACAAAAUAUGAAGGCCUGGCUUUCGCGGCCGGCUGAAGUAUUUUUUUCACCCAUGUCUUUUGCGCACUUGUUGUUUCCUGGGCGGGUUCGCCCGCCACCAGGACCAAACCAUAAACCUUUUUUUCUUAUGCAGUUUCCAUCAGCGUCAGUAAAAACAAUGUAAUUAUUACAACUUUCAACAACGGAUCUCUUGGUUCUGGCAUCGAUGAAGAACGCAGCGAAAUGCGAUACGUAGUGUGAAUUGCAGAAUUCAGUGAAUCAUCGAAUCUUUGAACGCACAUUGCGCCCUUUGGUAUUCCAAAGGGCAUGCCUGUUCGAGCGUCAUUUGUACCUUCAAGCUUUGCUUGGUGUUGGGCGUUUUUUUGUCUCCCUCUUUCUGGGAGACUCGCCUUAAAACGAUUGGCAGCCGGCCUACUGGUUUCGGAGCGCAGCACAUUUUUUGCGCUUUGUAUCAGGAGAAAAGGACGGUACUCCAUCAAGACUCUACAUUUUUCACUUUUGACCUCGGAUCAGGUAGGGAUACCCGCUGAACUUAAGCAUAUCAA
rnacentral:rRNA from 1 species